UACGUAGGGGGCAAGCGUUAUCCGGAUUUACUGGGUGUAAAGGGAGCGUAGACGGCGAUGCAAGUCUGAAGUGAAAGGCGGGGGCCCAACCCCCGGACUGCUUUGGAAACUGUAUGGCUGGAGUGCAGGAGAGGUAAGUGGAAUUCCUAGUGUAGCGGUGAAAUGCGUAGAUAUUAGGAGGAACACCAGUGGCGAAGGCGGCUUACUGGACUGUAACUGGCGUUGAGGCUCGAAAGCGUGGGGAGCAAACAGG
rnacentral:rRNA from 1 species